CUACAUUGCUAACCUAAUGGCUCCCCCAAACUCUUAGCGUCGCACAUUUCUAAUCCUUACAUUCCUUUUCUCAUCCUACCCCUAAACCAAGUUAUUUAUCUGAUCGUUGGAACUAGUAUUGUCGCAUCUACAUCCUCCACACUCUAUGCCUCAACGACUUUGUCUUGGACAUACACAAAUCUAUCUUGGCACUUGGUCAGAUAAGUUUGAAUGAUUAGAAGAUCAAAUUACAGAUGAUUCAUCUACUCAACUUAACUUCAGCCUAGAAUGAAGGGACGCAAGACUGGUGAAUCUAUCACUGGUUCAUACUAUGUGCAAGAGGAUCUCCGGGAAACUUACAGAGAAUGGAGCGCCUAUGGUGUAGAUGUGGUAGUUAGCCCAAAUGGAGAGGGGGACAUAAAAAUGUACUACGUCCCUUUUCUCUCUGCAAUUCAGCUAUAUGUUGUGAGGGCCUGCUACAAAUGCACAAGUGCUGGGUGUUGCGAAGGAAGCACGUGGAACGGGAUUCAUGCAACAACAAAAAAUGUGAUUACUACUUAUGAGGGAAGAUACAAUCAUGAACAAACCACCCUCAUGGACAACUAACAGGAAUAAGCUUGUACUAGAUGAAGAAGAAGAAGAAGAAGAUGAACAUGAUGGUGGUGAAGAACUUGCAGCUGCCAAUGCUCUAAUGACUUUAAUAUUACCUGGGACUGGGAAUUUUCUCAAUACCCCAAACCCUGUUGAACCUCAAGUUCACACUCUUCAACUUCGCAAUGACACAAAUCCUGAAUUUGCCACCAAUAGGUCUCUGUUCUGAGGCCCAACCAUUUUGGAACUUUCAACAAUAACACGAACAUGAAUAUUGGGUCUUCCUCCAACAACCCCCAAAUUCAUUGCUCUUCCUUGAAUAAUGCUACUGGCAUGCCUUUCCGCUCCUAUGCACUCAACAUAUCCUUAUGCUACCCCUCAACCUGGUGGUCCUUCAGUGUUUCCACAGUUUCCGAAUUCACCACCAUUCAACAAUAUUCCUUCUUCUAGAUGGUUUUCUCAGACUUGGCGUAAUAAUAAUAAUGGGUCUAGUUCCGUGUUUCCUUCCAAGGAAACAGGUGCAAGGGACAGGCACUAGGUUCAUGAGGCAUAAUAAGGAGCAAGAUGAUAAUAAGGUGUGUAGGGAACAUGCAAAUGCGCUUCUUACGCCUUCAGCGUCUUCGUGAUCCUCUUAUCCACUUCUUUUGCAAAAGCUACUAUUGGUGAUAGUUAUCUUGUCUUUACAUGAUAAUAGUCAGCAACUGAAUAAUUUCUGUUCGGUUUUUAUUUUUGUGAACAAUUUCUGUGAGUUUUCAUUUGGUGAUGAGGAUAUUUAACUUGAACUUAA